rnacentral:sRNA from 1 species
AUCUAAACCUCAUUGCAGCGGCAGCUCCCGGAUUUCGAUUUUUCAUCGAAAUCAAUCGGGACUACAGCGGAAAGGAGGGCUACCG